rnacentral:rRNA from 1 species
UUGUACACACCGCCCGUCACACCAUGGGAGUGGGUUGCUCCAGAAGUAGCUAGUCUAACCGCAAGGGGACGGUUACCACGGAGGUAUUCAUGACUGGGGUGAAGUCGUAACAAGGUAGCCGUAGGGAACCUGCGGCUGGAUCACCUCCUUAAUCG